rnacentral:lncRNA from 1 species
CUUCUGAGUAGAAGGUCACCCUUGCUACCUACAUGCUAGUGGGAGAAGCAGGCCGCUGGUAGGAACUCAAGUAGACCACCUUACCCAUUCCAGUUACUUGGAAGUAGUUCCUAGCAGCCUUUUAUGUAGAGUAUCCCAGAGCAUCUCCGACAUCUGAAGGAGAUGGAGUUCGUCCACUGGUACAGGAGAAUAUGACUGUGACAGAA